rnacentral:lncRNA from 1 species
GACUGAGCCUCUCCUUUAAGGAAGGUUUUAACAGGACUGUGUGACCAGUCUAGAUGGAAAUUUCAGAGAUACAGGAGGACUAUGAGGAGGAAGAAAAGCAGGAGGGAACAAUGGCUUCUGAUUUCACGUACAAGUGCUCGCUCUGUGCCCCAGGGGAAAUCCCAUGGCCAGCUGUGAAGGCAGGAAGAGGAGAAUCAAGCAUGAAGCCAGCCUCCAGGGCAGCAGCUGAUGCUGACUGAGCAAGUGGGUGAGGGACCGCAGCGUACCUGGCCCUGACCCAGGCUCGACACAGCCGGCCGCUCACAUCCACCUAUCCAUCCAUCACUCACGUAUACACCCAUUUCUCCCAACUGCUCCUUCUCUUUAAGGAGUUCUCUUUAUAUUAUUUUAAUUUUUUAAGACUGGGUCUCUCUAUGUAGCCUUGGCUCUCCUGGGAGUCUCCAUGCAGAGCAGGCUGGCCUCGAACUCACAGAGAUCUGCCUGCCUUUGCCAACCAAGUGCUGGGGUUAAUGGUGUGUGCCACCAUACCCAGACCAAAGAUUUAUUUUCCCUGCCCCCACACUCCCUGGCUCUGAGGGUCUUACACUUGUUAGGCAAUCAAUCAGUCUAUCACUGAGCUAAAGCCCCAACCCCAAGAUUUCUGUUUUUAUUUAAAAAAUAUUAAUUUUA